GAUGAACGCCGGCGGCGUGCCUAAUACAUGCAAGUCGAGCGAACAGACGAGGAGCUUGCUCCUCUGACGUUAGCGGCGGACGGGUGAGUAACACGUGGAUAACCUACCUAUAAGACUGGGAUAACUUCGGGAAACCGGAGCUAAUACCGGAUAAUAUAUUGAACCGCAUGGUUCAAUAGUGAAAGACGGUUUUGCUGUCACUUAUAGAUGGAUCCGCGCCGCAUUAGCUAGUUGGUAAGGUAACGGCUUACCAAGGCAACGAUGCGUAGCCGACCUGAGAAGGUGAUCGGCCACACUGGAACUGAGACACGGUCCAGACUCCUACGGGAGGCAGCAGUAGGGAAUCUUCCGCAAUGGGCGAAAGCCUGACGGAGCAACGCCGCGUGAGUGAUGAAGGUCUUCGGAUCGUAAAACUCUGUUAUUAGGGAAGAACAAAUGUGUAAGUAACUAUGCACGUCUUGACGGUACCUAAUCAGAAAGCCACGGCUAACUACGUG
rnacentral:rRNA from 1 species